rnacentral:lncRNA from 1 species
AUGAGAAACAUAUUUAAGGGACUAGAUCUGAUAGACAGAGUGCCUGAUGAACCAUGGACGGAGGUUCAUGACGUUGUACAGGAGACACGGAUCAAGACCAUCCCCAUGGAAAAGAAAUGCAAAAAAGCAAAAUGGCUGUCUGGAGAGGCCUUACAAAUAGCUGUGAAAAGAAGAGAAGCAAAAAGCAAAGGAGAAAAGGAAAGAUAUAUCCAUCUGAAUGCAGAGUUCCAAAGAAUAGCAAGGAGAGAUAAGAAAACUUUCUUCAGCGAUCAAUGCAAAGAAAUAGAGGAAAACAACAGAAUGGGAAAGAUUAGAGAUCUCUUCAAGAAAAUUAGAGAUACCAAGGAAACAUUUCAUGCAACGAUGGGUUCGAUAAAGGACAGAAAUGGUAUGGACCUAACAGAAGCAGAAGAUAUUAAGAAGAGGUGGCAAGAAUACACAGAAGAACUAUACAAAAAAGAUCUUCACGACCAAGAUAAUCACGAUGGUGUGAUCACUGACCUAGAGCCAGACAUCCUGGAAUGUGAAGUCAAGUGGGCCUUAGAAAACAUCACUCUGAACAAAGCUAGUGGAGGUGAUGGAAUUCCAGUUGAGCUAUUUCAAAUCCUGAAAGAUGAUGCUGUGAAAGUGCUGCACUCAAUAUGCCAGCAAAUUUGGAAAACUCAGCAGUGGCCACAGGACUGGAAAAAGUCAGUUUUCAUUCCAAUCCCAAAGAAAGGCAAUGCCAAAGAAUGCUCAAACUAUCGCACAAUUGCACUCAUCUCACACGCUAGUAAAGUGAUGCUCAAAAUUCUCCAAGCCAGGCUUCAGCAAUAUGUGAACCGUGAACUUCCUGAUGUUCAAGCUGGUUUUAGAAAAGGCAGAGGAACCAGAGAUCAAAUUGCCAAUAUCCGCUGGAUCAUCGAAAAAGCAAGAGAGUUCCAGAAAAACAUCUAUUUCUGCUUUAUUGACUAUGCCAAAGUCUUUAACUGUGUGGAUCACAAUAAACUGUGGAAAAUUCUGAAAGAGAUGGGAAUACCAUCUGACCUACCUCUUGAGAAACCUGUAUGCAGGUCAGGAAGCAACAGUUAG